GGAAAAAUGUCACCUGUCUGACUCAAACCCUUGACCUUCUGCAUCGAGGUUUCCAACCUCUCCAUAUGUGCGCCCGCUCUCCCAACUGAGCUAACCUGCCACC